GGCUUCAGGUGUUACCGACUUUCAUGACUUGACGGGCGGUGUGUACAAGACCCGGGAACGUAUUCACCGCAGCGUUGCUGAUCUGCGAUUACUAGCGACUCCGACUUCAUGAGGUCGAGUUGCAGACCUCAAUCCGAACUGGGACCGGCUUUUUGGGAUUCGCUCCACCUCGCGGUAUUGCAGCCCUUUGUACCGGCCAUUGUAGCAUGCGUGAAGCCCAAGACAUAAGGGGCAUGAUGAUUUGACGUCAUCCCCACCUUCCUCCGAGUUGACCCCGGCAGUAUCCCAUGAGUUCCCACCAUUACGUGCUGGCAACAUAGAACGAGGGUUGCGCUCGUUGCGGGACUUAACCCAACAUCUCACGACACGAGCUGACGACAACCAUGCACCACCUGUUUACGAGUGUCCAAAGAGUUGACCAUUUCUGGCCCGUUCUCGUAUAUGUCAAGCCUUGGUAAGGUUCUUCGCGUUGCAUCGAAUUAAUCCGCAUGCUCCGCCGCUUGUGCGGGUCCCCGUCAAUUCCUUUGAGUUUUAGCCUUGCGGCCGUACUCCCCAGGCGGGGAACUUAAUGCGUUAGCUGCGUCACGGAAUCCGUGGAAUGGACCCCACAACUAGUUCCCAACGUUUACGGGGUGGACUACCAGGGUAUCUAAGCCUGUUUGCUCCCCACCCUUUCGCUCCUCAGCGUCAGUUACGGCCCAGAGAUCUGCCUUCGCCAUCGGUGUUCCUCCUGAUAUCUGCGCAUUCCACCGCUACACCAGGAAUUCCAAUCUCCCCUACCGCACUCUAGUCUGCCCGUACCCACUGCACGCCGGAGGUUGAGCCUCCGGAUUUCACAGCAGACGCGACAAACCGCCUACGAGCUCUUUACGCCCAAUAAUUCCAGAUACGCUUGCGCCCUACGUAUUACCGCGGCUGCUGGCACGUAGUUAGCCGGCGCUUUUUCUGCAGGUACCGU
rnacentral:rRNA from 1 species